GAUGAACGCUGGCGGCGUGCCUAAUACAUGCAAGUCGAGCGAACAGACGAGGAGCUUGCUCCUCUGACGUUAGCGGCGGACGGGUGAGUAACACGUGGAUAACCUACCUAUAAGACUGGGAUAACUUCGGGAAACCGGAGCUAACACCGGAUAAUAUAUUGAACCGCAUGGUUCAAUAGUGAAAGACGGUUUUGCUGUCACUUAUAGAUGGAUCCGCGCCGGAUUAGCUAGUUGGUAAGGUAACGGCUUACCAAGGCAACGAUGCGUAGCCGACCUGAGAGGGUGAUCGGCCACACUGGAACUGAGACACGGACCAGACUCCUACGGGAGGCAGCAGUAGGGAAUCUUCCGCAAUGGGCGAAAGCCUGACGGAGCAACGCCGCGUGAGUGAUGAAGGUCUUCGGAUCGUAAAACUCUGUUAUUAGGGAAGAACAAAUGUGUAAGUAACUAUGCACGUCUUGACGGUACCUAAUCAGAAAGCCACGGCUAACUACGUG
rnacentral:rRNA from 1 species